rnacentral:rRNA from 1 species
UACGUAGGGUGCGAGCGUUGUCCGGAAUUAUUGGGCGUAAAGGGCUCGUAGGCGGUUUGUCGCGUCGGGAGUGAAAACACCGGGCUUAACUCGGUGCUUGCUUUCGAUACGGGCAGACUAGAGGCAUGCAGGGGAGAACGGAAUUCCUGGUGUAGCGGUGAAAUGCGCAGAUAUCAGGAGGAACACCGGUGGCGAAGGCGGUUCUCUGGGCAGUAGCUGACACUGAGGCGCGACAGCGUGGGGAGCAAACAGG